UCUGAAUUUAGUAUUAACAAACCGACUGACUUGCCAGUUCCUUAAAUUGCGAUUUCAUUUGAGUUUCCAACGAUCGAUCUUGAGUGAUCGGAGGCAUCUACCAAGCGGUAUCUGGUACGAAGGGAUUGCGUUACACAAAUCGUUCAUUCUCAGAUUAGCAUUAAACGUGUUGGUUUUUUGUGCGAAAAGGAAAAUGGGAGGUUUUCAACAACGACCAUGGACACCGACGAAGAGACGUGGUGCUAUUGCAGCUGAAUACAACAGCCCAGGCCCUGCGUGUGUGACACUUCCGUCUUAUUUGGGUAAAAAACCUUCAGAAUCAAAGACGGGCCGGGCGCCCGCUUUCAGCUUUGGAAGCCGUCACAAUGGCAAGCUGGAUAGUGCUGGACCCGGUCCUGGACAGUACAACAUAACCGGUUUGAGCGCAAAAGGUAAGGACAGUCCUCCUGCUGCCAGCCUACAUAGUCGCCCAAAAGAGACGAAGAAUGAUAACUUCCCCGCACCCGGCGAUUACAAUCCCGACAAAUCCUCGAGUGUGAUCCACGAUACCGCUCCAAAGUACACCUUCGGGCUUAAAACCAAUGUGACCAAGAUUGUCGAUACACCUGCACCGAACGUUUACCGCACGGAAAAAGUGAUAACUCACGACUCACCUAAAUACACAUUUGGUCUUAAGACUGCAAUCGAAAAACCUCUCGAUACACCCGCACCCAAUGUUUACAAUCCUAACGCAGUCAACCACAUGCCAAGCUACAGCUUUGGAACGAGACCAAACUUGGAAAAGCCAUCAGAGACUCCCGCACCUAACGUUUACACGCUCAACGCAUCCGGCCAAGCGCCUAAAUUCUCAUUUGGUGCAAAACUAGGCUUGGAGAAGCCUUUGGACACUCCCGCACCGAAUGCGUACAACAUUCCGGAGUCUGAAAAAAAUUUACACGAAAGUUCGCCUAGGUACUCCUUCGGAUGCAAAGGUCAAGCCCAAAAGCCCAGCGACACGCCUGCACCCAAUGUCUACAAUCCCAAUUCGAUCGACCAUAUGCCUAGUUAUACUUUUGGGGCAAAGCUGGGCUGGGAGAAACCGCUGGAAACUCCUGCACCUAACGUUUACAAUCCUAAUUCCAUUCACCAUACUCCAAGUUUCACAUUUGGAUUAAAAUCCAGCUAUGAGAAGCUCUCCGAAACACCCGCACCGAAUGCUUACGAUGUUCCGGACGGCGAUAAAGAUUCGCCAAAGUACACGUUUGGCUUGAAAACUCAGUCUCAAAAGCCUAGCGAAACACCUGCGCCUAAUGUAUAUAGUCUUAACUUAAAUGACCAUACUCCAAGUUAUACGUUUGGAACAAAGCUAAGCAUGGAGAAACACUUAGAAACUCCCGCACCAAAUGCCUAUAACGUUUCCAAACCGGAAAGUUCGCCCCGGUAUACCUUUGGUAGUAACACCCAGAUUCAGAAAUCUAGCGACACGCCUGCACCUAACAUCUAUAAUCCUAAUUUGAUCGAUAACACGUUCAGCUAUACGUUUGGGGCGCGAUUAAACUUGGAGAAGAUAUUUGAAACUCCUGCCCCUAAUGCUUAUAAUACUUCCGAAUGUGAAAAGAAUGUGCAUGAGAGCUCGCCAAGGUAUACGUUUGGUUGUAACACCCCAAUCCAAAAACCGAGUGACACACCUGCACCUAACGUUUAUAAUCCUAACUCGAUCGAUCACAUGCCCAGUUAUUCAUUUGGAGCGAAACUUGGCAUGGAGACACCGUCAGAAACUCCCGCACCGAACGCUUACAAUAUUCACGAGUUCGAAAAGAAUUUGCAUGAAAGCUCGCCUAGGUACACAUUUGGCUCUAAAGCCCAACCUCAAAAGCCCAGCGACACCCCUGCACCUAACGUUUAUAAUCCCACUUUACUCGACGACACGCCUAGCUAUACAAUUGGGGCUAAAUUGAGUCUGGAGAAACCAUCGGACACACCUGCACCAAAUGUCUACAGCAUCCAUGACUUGGAAAAUUCACCACGGUAUUCAUUUGGGCAGAAAAUUGAAAUGGAUAAGCCACUAGAAACUCCUGCUCCAAAUGUUUACAAAAUUGGCGGUGUGAUUGGCGACAAGAAAUCAUCACCAUCCUACACUAUAUCAGGGCGCCACAAACAGCCGAUGGACGAGCGUGUUAAGAAUCCAGGCCCCGGAUCUUACAACAACGUUAAUCCAGAAGCGUACAAGGACCAUUCGCCUUGCUACAGCAUGGCAGCUCGCACUCAGCUACCAUCGGAUGCCACCAAAAUACCAGGACCCGGCGUUUACUUCCCCGAAAAGGUAACAAUACAUUUAAGAGACGCCCCUCGUCACUCCUUCGGUAUAAAGCACUCACUCUACUUGGGAUCCGAAUCCCUCUGCUUGCGAAAAGACAAAACCGCUCUUCUAUUCUAACCUAUUAACAUCAGUAGGAAGCGGUCGCAGAUAAAGGAAGAAACUGGGCACUUCUUUCUGUCUAACCACUAACAUGGUUACCAUCGACUAUCCACCUGCACACUCCUUUGGCAUCAAACAUUCGCCAUACUCCGAACACUAUUAAGCGAUUAUGCCGGAAGAAUCCAGUUAUUUGUGCGCUUUGCAUGUCAGAUGAGUUUUUCACCGAACUAAUUUUUGUCGUCAUGAUACUCACAAGUUUACAUUUUUAUACGUUUGUUAAUUGUUGCUUGAGAUUAAUCUUUUGUGGUGUAUGAUUCUCUCACCGACAUUUUUUGUUUAACAAUCUAAUCGAUAUUAAAUAUAUUUUGGAAAAAA